AUACGUAGGGAGCGAGCGUUGUCCGGAAUUACUGGGUGUAAAGGGAGCGUAGGCGGGAGUGCAAGUCAGAUGUGAAAUACAUGGGCUCAACCCAUGGGCUGCAUUUGAAACUGCAUUUCUUGAGUGAAGUAGAGGUAAGCGGAAUUCUUGGUGUAGCGGUGAAAUGCGUAGAUAUCAGGAGGAACACCGGUGGCGAAGGCGGCUUACUGGGCUUUUACUGACGCUGAGGCUCGAAAGCGUGGGGAGCAAACAGGAUUAGAUACCCUGUUAGUCCACGCUGUAAACGAUGAUUACUAGGUGUGGGGGGACUGACCCCUUCCGUGCCGCAGUUAACACAAUAAGUAAUCCACCUGGGGAGUACGGCCGCAAGGUUGAAACUCAAAGGAAUUGACGGGG
rnacentral:rRNA from 1 species